UACGUAGGGGGCGAGCGUUGUCCGGAUUUAUUGGGCGUAAAGAGCGUGUAGGCGGUUCGGUAAGUCUGUCGUGAAAUCCUGAGGCUCAACCUCGGGCGUGCGAUGGAUACUGCCGGGCUAGAGUCCGGAAGAGGCGAGUGGAAUUCCUGGUGUAGCGGUGGAAUGCGCAGAUAUCAGGAGGAACACCGAUGGCGAAGGCAGCUCUCUGGGACGGUACUGACGCUGAGACGCGAAAGCGUGGGGAGCGAACAGG
rnacentral:rRNA from 1 species